UAGGGAAUCUUCGGCAAUGGACGAAAGUCUGACCGAGCAACGCCGCGUGAGUGAAGAAGGUUUUCGGAUCGUAAAACUCUGUUGUUAGAGAAGAACAAGGACGUUAGUAACUGAACGUCCCCUGACGGUAUCUAACCAGAAAGCCACGGCUAACUACGUGCCAGCAGCCGCGGUAAUACGUAGGUGGCAAGCGUUGUCCGGAUUUAUUGGGCGUAAAGCGAGCGCAGGCGGUUUCUUAAGUCUGAUGUGAAAGCCCCCGGCUCAACCGGGGAGGGUCAUUGGAAACUGGGAGACGUGAGUGCAGAAGAGGAGAGUGGAAUUCCAUGUGUAGCGGUGAAAUGCAUAGAUAUAUGGAGGAACACCAGUGGCGAAGGCGGCUCUCUGGUCUGUAACUGACGCUGAGGCUCGAAAGGGUGGGGAGGAAACAGG
rnacentral:rRNA from 1 species